AGGUUGAUGCACAGGUUCUUGUGGAUGGUGUUCCGGUCAGUCUGCAGUCCCCGCAGGAAGCAGAAAGUGGAGAUACAGAUGGCCAGGCAGACCAGGGAGAUGACGAUGCCCACCCAGGCGGCACGCUCACUUCCUCAUGCUCUGGAAGGCUCGUGGAGAGAUGACAAAGGUGACACCAACGUGCUUCUCCAGAGUGCCUUGGGAGAAGGUGGGACCGUGACCAAAGAGAACCAGACGUGUGGCCUCAUGCCCCGGGCAAGACUCAGGCCCCCCAUGCCCACGAAGCUGGCCUUCCCUGGCACCGCCCAUGCAGCACUUUCUAGGAUGCCAUGCAAAGCCGGGCCAGAAAGUGGGCCCGCCCGGAGGAACGGAGCGCUGGCCAGCUUACGAUCUCGCGGUGAGCCAUGAGCACGGCAAAGUUGGUGAGGUGGCUGCAGGCACACGUGGUGUGGGUCUUGUUGGACUCCACCAGGCGGCAGCCCUGCGUCGACCAGUAGCCCAGCAUGGAACGCUCCGAGUAGUUCCAGAAGGAGCAGUUGGCAUUGAAGUGGUUCUUGGCCUGUUGUGUGGUGGUGACCGGGGGGUCAGAUCCGGGGAGUCCCACUCCAGCCCACACACCCGGCUAUGGGGAUAGCGACAAGCAGGAGACGAGUGCCUGGGGCUCUGGGCUCCAGGUGACAGUCUGAGACCUCUGGGGACAAAAUGGCCCAAGCUGCUGAGGUGGGGGCUGGGGCCCCAGGGAGGGGUUGUAACUUGCUCUCGGGGUGGGUGAACACACAGUAGGGGGGCGUGCACAGCCAGGGACAAUGGAGGAUGCUGGGACCUCACGGAGGGAGGGGGCGCCUCAGCUCACCUCCAGGUGGGCCACAGUGAAGAUGACAGGGUCCAUGAGGAAAACUCGGCUGGACUCCUUGUUGAUGGACGCUGCGAUGACCUGGGAGUUCACCACCAGGGAGGCGCCCCCCAGGCCCCCCGCGCCCGCUUCACCUGCCAGCUUCACCGUGGCAUUCUCGGUGGACAGGAAGAGGCCCAGGUUGUUGUAGAGGAUGAAGACAACUUUGACCACUCCUGGGGAGAACAGGCACAGCAGGGUGUGUUGUCAGCCCCUGGCUGGUGUGCAGCUCCACCACGCUGGCCGCCAGGACCUCUGAAGCCAGGCAGGCUGCAGCCCAGGCAAGUGGGGCUCUGGGAGCCCUUCUGCGGGACCCCUGCUCAGUUAUAGGCAGCUUUCAACGGCAGGGCAGUGGGCCGGGAUACACAGGCCAGGUCCCCGGCCCACCUCUCACUUACUGUGUAACGUU